UAGCUCAGUUGGCAGAGCGCUUCCAUGGCAUGGAAGAGGUCAGGGGUUCAAUUCCCCU
rnacentral:tRNA from 1 species